UGCGAGUGAGCUGACUGCCUGAGUAUCGAAUGAUCUGCGAGUGAUUGUGGUGCCAGAAUGGGAUUGACUGACGGCGCCAGGAUAUGAAGUGGGAGUGAGGAAGAAAGGAAUGAAGGAAUGAGGGAAUUGGAGGAGGAGGAGGAGCGAUGACAGGAGGGAAGGAAGGAGAGACGAUGAUUGUAGGAGUGUCGGAUUGGAUUGGGAGCAGCUGCUGUUUCACUCAAUGCUUUCUGUGCUGCUUUCUUGGAUUUCCAGCAGAACUGAUUGGCGUCGUGGCCAGGCUCUGCCGAGCGUGACUACGGUGGAGUGCAUGUGGUGGCGAUGACGUUUGGGGUGAAGGUGCAAAUCAUGGUGAUGUGUGAGUAUGGUUGCAACUGACGCGGAUGCGUUUCGCUUUGCUACUCUGGCUUAUGGAUCCCUUCACCAGAGUCUGCCUGGGUUCAUUAGCCGGGCCACCGUCAUGUUCUUGCGCCGACGGUCGCUUGCCAUAGGUUGGAGCCUUGGAGUCUAAUUUUGGGAACCGUGAACAACUAGCUUGCGUGCUUGCUCCGGUCCUCAUCCUUACGAAGCUGUGCAUUUUUUAUUUUGUAUAGAAUGAGAGAUUUCUAAGGUUCUAUCCCUGGAACGAGGACUUUGUCAUCUUUGUCUAGAUAGCUCUUCUUUGUCACAUGGAAUCAAAUAUUUUGAUCCUCCUUUUGGCUGUUGGAACUAUUGCAGUGUCCCACGCCACUUAAGCCCUAGUCUUUUUGUUUGGGUGGCCAACCCAUAAGAAGUUCUUAAUGAGUGCCUUUAUCGUCAUCAA